GGGGCUGCAGCUCAGCAGCAGAUCAUCUGCUUUGCAUGCAGAAGGUUCCAGGUUCAGGUCCUGGCAUCUCCU